rnacentral:rRNA from 1 species
CUAACACAUGCAAGUCGAGCGGAAACGAUGGUAGCUUGCUACCAGGCGUCGAGCGGCGGACGGGUGAGUAACGCGUGAGAAUCUGCCCAUUUGUGGGGGAUAACUCGGGGAAACUCGAGCUAAUACCGCAUAAUCCCUACGGGGGAAAGCAGGGGACCUUCGGGCCUUGUGCAGAUGGAUGAGCUCGCGUCGGAUUAGCUUGUUGGUGAGGUAAAGGCUCACCAAGGCGACGAUCCGUAGCUGGUCUGAGAGGAUGAUCAGCCACACCGGGACUGAGACACGGCCCGGACUCCUACGGGAGGCAGCAGUGGGGAAUCUUGGACAAUGGGGGCAACCCUGAUCCAGCCAUGCCGCGUGUGUGAAGAAGGCCUUCGGGUUGUAAAGCACUUUCAGUAGGGAGGAAGGCUUACCGCUAAUAACGGUGAGUACUUGACGUUACCUACAGAAGAAGCACCGGCUAAUUUCGUGCCAGCAGCCGCGGUAAUACGAAAGGUGCGAGCGUUAAUCGGAAUUACUGGGCGUAAAGCGCGCGUAGGCGGUUUGUUAAGUCAGAUGUGAAAGCCCCGGGCUCAACCUGGGAAUUGCAUUUGAAACUGGCAGGCUAGAGUGCAGUAGAGGGAGGUGGAAUUUCCGGUGUAGCGGUGAAAUGCGUAGAGAUCGGAAGGAACACCAGUGGCGAAGGCGGCCUCCUGGACUGACACUGACGCUGAGGUGCGAAAGCGUGGGGGAGCAAACAGGAUUAGAUACCCUGGUAGUCCACGCCGUAAACGAUGUCUACUAGUCGUUGGGAAUCUUAGUAUUCUUGGUGACGAAGUUAACGCGAUAAGUAGACCGCCUGGGGAGUACGGCCGCAAGGUUAAAACUCAAAUGAAUUGACGGGGGCCCGCACAAGCGGUGAGCAUGUGGUUUAAUUCGAUGCAACGCGAGAACCUUACCAGGUCUUGACAUCCUCGGAAUUUGGCAGAGAUGCCUUAGUGCCUUCGGGAGCCGAGUGACAGGUGCUGCAUGACGUCGUCAGCUCGUGUCGUGAGAUGUUGGGUUAAGUCCGUACGAGCGCAACCCUUGUCUUAGUUGCCAGCACGUAAUUGGUGGAACUCCUAGGAAGACUGCCGGGUGACAAACCGAGA